rnacentral:lncRNA from 1 species
CUUCUACAUGCAACUCUGUACAACGAAUGUGCCGUGUACAUUAAGGUAUGUGGUUCUGACCUACAUUUGGUGGUGUUGAGCAGAGCACUGGGGGUUGAUACAGCCCACAAACGAUUGGUUCUGAAGCAUCUCUUUGUAGACCUGAGGAAGACCAAACCUAUAUUUGACAGGCUCUCAAACCAAAUGUUCUUUUUAAGUGUUUUUGCCAUCCUUAAUUUACUAGCUACAAUCUCCCUUUUUUUGUAAUGAAGUAAUUACAACAGUUAUGUUCGAGUAAUUUUCUUCACCUGGUGGUGUCAGCAAAGACACAAUCACUGAGUAUAGUGGAAUAUCUAUAUGAACGACCGAUAAUCUUUUCUAGUCUAUCGACUACUGUACAUAGCAAAACUGCUGCUACGCCAGCCAACACUCACCGCCUGAGCCACGGACACUGGACAAUGCCGAGGAAUGUCUAGUUGGGAAAAUCAGCAGCAAGAUAGCUCAUUCUCCAACAGCAAGACUCUCAGCGCUCUCCGAGUGCACCGGUUUGAGUGUAUCAAGAACUACAACGCUACUGGGUUUUUCAUGCUCAACAGUUUCCCGUAUUUAUCAAGAAUGGUCCACCACCCAAACAACAUCCAGCCAACUUGACACAACUGGGAGAAGCAUUGGAGUCAACAUGGGCCAGCGUCCCUAUGGAAUGCUUUCAACACCUUGUUGAGUCCAUGCCUCAAAGAAUUUAGGCUGUUCUGAGGGCAAAAGGGGGUGCAACAUUAUAUUUGGAAGGUGUUCCUAAUGGUUUGUACAUUCUGUGUAUACUAUUGUGGAUUAUAUUGAUGCCACAAUAAUAAAGACAAAGAAAAACAUUUUUCCAAGUUAUGGAUAAGUAAGUCAUUGUCACUUGCCACAUAAACAUUUUUCACAACAGCUUUUUCACUUUAGUAUGUGGCCCAUGUGCAUCUAUACAUUUUUUUGU